rnacentral:rRNA from 1 species
GAUGAACGCUGGCUACAGGCUUAACACAUGCAAGUCGAGGGGAAACGACAGGGAAGCUUGCUUCCCCGGGCGUCGACCGGCGCACGGGUGAGUAACGCGUAUCCAACCUGCCUCUGACUGAGGGAUAACCCGUCGAAAGUCGGCCUAAUACCUCAUGGCAUCGUCUGCGGGCAUCCAACGACGAUUAAAGAUUUCAUCGGUCAGGGAUGGGGAUGCGUCUGAUUAGCUUGUUGGCGGGGUAACGGCCCACCAAGGCUACGAUCAGUAGGGGUUCUGAGAGGAAGGUCCCCCACAUUGGAACUGAGACACGGUCCAAACUCCUACGGGAGGCAGCAGUGAGGAAUAUUGGUCAAUGGGCGGGAGCCUGAACCAGCCAAGUAGCGUGCAGGAGGACGGCCCUAUGGGUUGUAAACUGCUUUUAUGCGGGGAUAAAGUGAGGGACGUGUCCUUCAUUGCAGGUACCGCAUGAAUAAGAACCGGCUAAUUCCGUG